GAUGAACGCUGGCGGCGUGCCUAAUACAUGCAAGUCGAGCGAACAGAUGAGGAGCUUGCUCCUCUGACGUUAGCGGCGGACGGGUGAGUAACACGUGGAUAACCUACCUAUAAGACUGGGAUAACUUCGUGAAACCGGAGCUAAUACCGGAUAAUAUAUUUAUCCGCAUGGUUCAAUAGUGAAAGACGGUUUUGCUGUCACUUAUAGAUGGAUCCGCGCCGCAUUAGCUAGUUGGUAAGGUAACGGCUUACCAAGGCAACGAUGCGUAGCCGACCUGAGAGGGUGAUCGGCCACACUGGAACUGAGACACGGUCCAGACUCCUACGGGAGGCAGCAGUAGGGAAUCGUCCGCAAUGGGCGAAAGCCUGACGGAGCAACACCGCGUGAGUGAUGAAGGUCUUCGGAUCGUAAAACUCUGUUAUUAGGGAAGAACAAAUGUGUAAGUAACUAUGCACGUCUUGACGGUACCUAAUCAGAAAGCCACGGCUAACUACGUG
rnacentral:rRNA from 1 species